UACUCUCUUGACUCCUGUGUGACUAAGGCAA
rnacentral:piRNA from 1 species